UACGGAGGGUGCAAGCGUUGUCCGGAUUUAUUGGGUUUAAAGGGUGCGUAGGCGGCUAUUUAAGUCAGCGGUGAAAGACUCCGGCUUAACCGGAGCAGUGCCAUUGAUACUGGAUAGCUUGAGUGUUGGAGGGGUACAUGGAAUUGAUGGUGUAGCGGUGAAAUGCAUAGAUACCAUCAGGAACACCGAUAGCGAAGGCAUUGUACUGGCCAACAACUGACGCUGAGGCACGAAAGCAUGGGGAGCGAACAGG
rnacentral:rRNA from 1 species